AAAGGAGGAGGAGGAGGCGGAGAAAUAAAGGGAGGAGGAGGAGGAGGAGGAGGAGGAGGAGGAGGCACAGAAAGCGUAAAAAGUCCCAGAAGAGAGGUUGAAGGUAGAAGGAGGAGAAGAAGAGCAGCCUGACAGAUGUGUGUGGCAGCUGCCUGACGACCACGUUACAGGCACCUGGUAACACCCACAACCACCACAGGUGACGUGGUGUGAGGUGGUUGAAGGGGGAGGAGGGGAGGGGGGUCUGUGUUGGGGGCGGAGCCAAAACCAGCCUCUCGCUGCUGGUGGUGAAGCGUAAACACGGAUGAUGACGGGUCCGUCUGUAUGAGCCACACUGACCUCCACUGUCACCACAACCUGAGGCUCUCUCACCAGACACCUCCAAAAACGUUACCACGGCAACCGCCACCUAUGGGUGGUGAAGUCUCCUUGAUGACACAGACCAAAUGAUGACCAUAGGACCUAGAGAGAUGUCAUCACCUGUGCUUCCGGAGGCUCAGUGCACGCUUCAACUCACUGUUGGUCUCCCUCUGAGCAAAAGACAGUCAAGACGAGACAUCAACAAUCAGUUUCAUAGAUGAUGUAGAAACAUCUGAUAGCUUCAAUAAAUCAAUUUAAUGUUAAA